rnacentral:rRNA from 1 species
AGAGUUUGAUCCUGGCUCAGAUUGAACGCUGGCGGCAGGCCUAACACAUGCAAGUCGAACGGUAACAGGAAGAAGCUUGCUUCUUUGCUGACGAGUGGCGGACGGGUGAGUAAUGUCUGGGAAACUGCCUGAUGGAGGGGGAUAACUACUGGAAACGGUAGCUAAUACCGCAUAACGUCGCAAGACCAAAGAGGGGGACCUUCGGGCCUCUUACCAUCGGAUGUGCCCAGAUGGGAUUAGCUAGUAGGUGGGGUAACGGCUCACCUAGGCGACGAUCCCUAGCUGGUCUGAGAGGAUGACCAGCCACACUGGAACUGAGACACGGUCCAGACUCCUACGGGAGGCAGCAGUGGGGAAUAUUGCACAAUGGGCGCAAGCCUGAUGCAGCCAUGCCGCGUGUAUGAAGAAGGCCUUCGGGUUGUAAAGUACUUUCAGCGGGGAGGAAGGGAGUAAAGUUAAUACCUUUGCUCAUUGACGUUACCCGCAGAAGAAGCACCGGCUAACUCCGUGCCAGCAGCCGCGGUAAUACGGAGGGUGCAAGCGUUAAUCGGAAUUACUGGGCGUAAAGCGCACGCAGGCGGUUUGUUAAGUCAGAUGUGAAAUCCCCGGGCUCAACCUGGGAACUGCAUCUGAUACUGGCAAGCUUGAGUCUCGUAGAGGGGGGUAGAAUUCCAGGUGUAGCGGUGAAAUGCGUAGAGAUCUGGAGGAAUACCGGUGGCGAAGGCGGCCCCCUGGACGAAGACUGACGCUCAGGUGCGAAAGCGUGGGGAGCAAGCAGGAUUAGAUACCCUGGUAGUCCACGCCGUAAACGAUGUCGACUUGGAGGUUGUGCCCUUGAGGCGUGGCUUCCGGAGCUAACGCGUUAAGUCGACCGCCUGGGGAGUACGGCCGCAAGGUUAAAACUCAAAUGAAUUGACGGGGGCCCGCACAAGCGGUGGAGCAUGUGGUUUAAUUCGAUGCAACGCGAAGAACCUUACCUGGUCUUGACAUCCACAGAACUUUCCAGAGAUGGAUUGGUGCCUUCGGGAACUGUGAGACAGGUGCUGCACGGCUGUCGUCAGCUCGUGUUGUGAAAUGUUGGGUUAAGUCCCGCAACGAGCGCAACCCUUAUCCUUUGUUGCCAGCGGUCCGGCCGGGAACUCAAAGGAGACUGCCAGUGAUAAACUGGAGGAAGGUGGGGAUGACGUCAAGUCAUCAUGGCCCUUACGACCAGGGCUACACACGUGCUACAAUGGCGCAUACAAAGAGAAGCGACCUCGCGAGAGCAAGCGGACCUCAUAAAGUGCGUCGUAGUCCGGAUUGGAGUCUGCAACUCGACUCCAUGAAGUCGGAAUCGCUAGUAAUCGUGGAUCAGAAUGCCACGGUGAAUACGUUCCCGGGCCUUGCACACACCGCCCGUCA